GGUGAGGUGAGGAGAGGGAGAAAGUGGGAGGUGAGGAUGCCAGAGCGACUUCUACUUCAGGCAGUAAUGUUGACCAAAGCCAGGACGAGGAUACUCUCUACAGCCUGACAGGCAGAUUCUUGCUGUUCUGAGUCCUUGGAUGCAAGGAACGGAUGAUUCUCGUCUUUGACAAGAACAAGCACCAGAGAAGAAAAAGAAAUAUUUAAUUUCAGAGAGCCACAAGGGACCUUAGAAGUCCUCUGUGUAGCCAAAGACUUUCAAGUGGUGUGAUUCAUGUCUACCAGCUGUCGGGGUGCAGAGGCUUCUUUGAUUUCACUUCCCAUGGAGCCCCAGCACCACACCAAGUGCCUAGAGCAUAGCAGACCCCAGUAAUAACAAGGAUGCAGGAAAAAAAGUCUGGUGCUCGCUUUGAGACAUUACAAUCAGAUGCAGCAUUCUCUCUGGUGUCCGUGUCUGUUUUGUCAUCUGCCAACUCCUUGCUCACCUGACCGGUAUCCUGGUUCCCCACCGGUUGUACGACCGACUGAGUCUAUCUGUGGCAUGUAAGGAAGAUGAAGUUUACCUUAGUAAGGACUGACCAUGAAUCAAGAGUUUCUUACUUAUCAGUGGCUAUGAGGGUGCAAAUCUCAGAGCCUGUAAACAGUUCCUGCCUACUCUGUCCACUGCUGUCACCCCACUCUUUCUCCACUAUACUACACAAAGAAGCUCAGCAGGAUGUUCCACAGAUGAAGACGUCAUAGGAGCUGAGGCAGAUCACGAGAAGGUAGUCAGUUGUGCUAUUUGAACCACCUAGAACCUAGAUUCUUGUCAUCUCUGCCUCUCUAUCAUUUGACACUGAUAGGCCCACCUUCCCUCCCUCUGAAUCUAUUUCUCAGUUUGCAGCAUUUUCUUCAAAAGAAGACUUAGGAGAAAGCUCCAUCUGAACAACAGAAACGAGCAGGUUGUAGGAGCAGCUCUGGGCUCUAGAAGCCUCUUAGGAACCACACUCACUGGAACUAUAUAAAGUUUUCUCUGCCAUUGAACUCAGUACAGUCCCACAAUGCCUUCCCUCUCCUCAAAUGAGCUUCGUGGGCUCUACAUCUUUGAGCUGCGGAGUGGGAGUUCCUUAAAGGCAUUGUGAUUGAGAUUGUUCCUUUCCUGAAGCACAGUAGUGGCCAGAGCAGCCACUGAGCUCUGACUGGGGACUGGGCAAGAGAGCUGCUAUGGAUCCCACCACUGAACCACAGUGCAGAUGGGUGGCGGUGGAAUGGGACCAAGUAACAGAGGGAACACAGGUAUAAUUUGGCCAAAGAUGCCUUGUUUGUUUGUUUGUUUGUUGUUUAUUUGUUGUUUAGACAGGGUCUCACUAGGUAGCCUCAGUUAGAGCUCAUGAUAUGCUUGCUUCCACCUCUGAAAUACUGGGUACCCAUACAUUGCAGAUGUGUGCAGGGUGUGAAGAUCACACCCAGUCAAUAUGGCCAUCUCCAGUAAAGUGGCCUCACUUGCAUAUAUUUAAAUAAUUUUGGGGGGGGCAGGGGUGUUUUUGUUUUGGGGGUAGUCAUUUGGUUGGUUGGUUGGUUGGGAUUUUUUUUUUAAACAUAUGUUCAGUACACUGAAUAAAAUUGCACUUGUAGUAAUAAAUAUCUCUUUUCCUGGUCUUAAAAUAAAAUAAAGCCCACUCAAAUGCCAAUUG
rnacentral:lncRNA from 1 species